rnacentral:pre_miRNA from 1 species
CUACUACUUCCUCCGUCCGAAAAUACUUGUCAUUGAAAUGGAUGUAUCUAAAUGUAUUUUAGUUCUAGACACAUCCAUUUUGAUGACAAGUAAUUCCGGACGGAGGGAGUAUUAU